AGCAGCCGCGGUAAUUCCAGCUCCAAUAGCGUAUAUUAAAGUUGCUGCAGUUAAAAAGCUCGUAGUUGAAUUUCGGGACUAAUAUGUCGGUCGUGCCUCGGUACGUACUGGUUUAUUGGUUUCUCCUUUCUGAAGAACCAUGAUGUCAUUUAUUUGGUGUCGUGGGGAAUCAGGACUGUUACUUUGAAAAAAUUAGAGUGUUUAAAGCAGGCUCACGCUUGAAUACAUUAGCAUGGAAUAAUGAAAUAGGACGUUUGAUUCUAUUUUGUUGGUUUCUAGGAUCGACGUAAUGAUUAAUAGGGAUAGUUGGGGGCAUUAGUAUUCAAUUGUCAGAGGUGAAAUUCUUGGAUUUAUUGAAGACUAACUACUGCGAAAGCAUUUGCCAAGGAUGUUUUCAUUAAUCAAGAACGAAAGUUAGGGGAUCGAAGACGAUCAGAUACCGUCGUAGUCUUAACCAUAAACUAUAGCCGACUAGGGAUCGGAUGAUGUUAAUUUUUU
rnacentral:rRNA from 1 species